UGGGACUCUAUUUUCCAUCGUACUUGUACACGCGCACCAACGGCCCCCACCCCCCCAAACCAAAGGCUCGUUCUCGGGUGAUUGUUUGGAAGGCUAUGGAGAGAAUGGAACUGGAGAAGAAAAUGGUGAAAUCAAGAUUCAAGAGGGUUUGUGUGUUUUGUGGCAGUAGUACUGGGAAGAGAGAUUGUUACAGAGAUGCUGCCAUUGAACUUGCCCAAGAGCUGGUGGAAAGAAGAUUGGACCUUGUGUACGGAGGGGGUAGUAUUGGGCUUAUGGGAUUAGUUUCACAAGCUGUUCAUCAGGGUGGAGGCAAUGUUCUUGGGAUCAUACCCAGAACUCUUAUGAGUAAAGAGAUCACUGGAGAAACGGUUGGAGAGGUAAAGCCAGUGGCUGACAUGCACCAAAGAAAAGCAGAAAUGGCCCGCCAUUCUGAUUGUUUUAUAGCCCUACCAGGUGGGUAUGGAACUUUAGAGGAGUUGUUGGAAGUGAUCACUUGGGCUCAGCUUGGUAUCCAUGACAAGCCUGUAAGCAUAUGCAUCCGUUAAUACCCUUCUCAAAAACCUUAUAUGGGUUGUUUUUGUGUUUCAAAUUCAAUCCAUAACUUUGAUUAAUUUUCGAAAACAAAAAUAAUAAAACAAAAACGCAGGUGGGUCUACUUAAUGUUGAUGGUUACUACAACAAUCUUCUGACUUUCAUUGACAAGGCUGUAGAUGAUGGGUUCAUCAAACCCUCCCAGCGCAACAUCUUUGUCUAUGCACCAAAUGCCAAAGAACUUGUUCAAAAGCUUGAGGAGUACGAGCCUGUGCGUGAUGGAGUUAUAGCCAAGGCAAGGUGGGACGUUGAGCUUCAGCAACCGUCACAGCAACCACAGGUCGGGUUCAAUGCCACCACUUUGCAGACUGAGGUCGCUCUAUGAAAGAGAGA
rnacentral:misc_RNA from 1 species